UACGGGAGGCAGCAGUGGGGAAUAUUGCACAAUGGGCGCAAGCCUGAUGCAGCCAUGCCGCGUGUAUGAAGAAGGCCUUCGGGUUGUAAAGUACUUUCAGUCGUGAGGAAGGUGUUAAGGUUAAUAACCUUAGCAAUUGACGUUAGCGACAGAAGAAGCACCGGCUAACUCCGUGCCAGCAGCCGCGGUAAUACGGAGGGUGCGAGCGUUAAUCGGAAUUACUGGGCGUAAAGGGCACGCAGGCGGUUAAUUAAGUUGGAUGUGAAAUCCCCGGGCUUAACCUGGGAAUGGCAUUCAAGACUGGUUAGCUAGAGUCUUGUAGAGGGGGUAGAAUUCCAUGUGUAGCGGUGAAAUGCGUAGAGAUGUGGAGGAAUACCGGUGGGCGAAGGCGGCCCCUGGGACAAAGACUGACGCUCAUGUGCGAAAGCGUGGGGAGCAAAC
rnacentral:rRNA from 1 species